CCUACGGGAGGCAGCAGUGGGGAAUAUUGGACAAUGGGGGGAACCCUGAUCCAGCCAUGCCGCGUGUGUGAAGAAGGCCCUCGGGUUGUAAAGCACUUUCAGUGAGGAAGAACGCCUGGUGGUUAAUACCCAUCAGGAAAGACAUCACUCACAGAAGAAGCACCGGCUAACUCCGUGCCAGCAGCCGCGGUAAUACGGAGGGUGCGAGCGUUAAUCGGAAUUACUGGGCGUAAAGCGCGCGUAGGUGGCUUGAUAAGCCGGUUGUGAAAGCCCCGGGCUCAACCUGGGAACGGCAUCCGGAACUGUCAAGCUAGAGUGCAGGAGAGGUAGGUAGAAUUCCCGGUGUAGCGGUGAAAUGCGUAGAGAUCGGGAGGAAUACCAGUGGCGAAGGCGGCCUUCUGGACUGACACUGACACUGAGGUGCGAAAGCGUGGGUAGCAAACAGGAUUAGAUACCCGAGUAGUC
rnacentral:rRNA from 1 species